AUACGGAGGAUCCAAGCGUUAUCCGGAUUUAUUGGGUUUAAAGGGUGCGCAGGCGGAAGAUUAAGUCGGCGGUGAAAUUUUGCAGCUCAACUGUAAAAGUGCCAUCGAUACUGGUUUUCUUGAGUGUGGAUGAAGUAGGCGGAAUUUGUGGUGUAGCGGUGAAAUGCAUAGAUAUCACGAGGAACUCCGAUUGCGCAGGCAGCUUACUAGGCCAUAACUGACGCUCAGGCACGAAGGCGUGGGGAUCAAACAGGAUUAGAUACCCUGGUAGUCCACGCAGUAAACGAUGAUUACUCGCUGGUUGCGAUACACAGCAAGCGGCUUAGCGAAAGCGUUAAGUAAUCCACCUGGGGAGUACGUUCGCAAGAAUGAAACUCAAAUGAAUUGACGGGG
rnacentral:rRNA from 1 species